CCGAGUUUACACUCCCAAACCCCUGUGAACUUAUACCUUAUCGUUGCUUCGGCGGGUUUUCGCCCCGGACGCCGUCCCCUCCUCCACUGGGAGAGAGAGUGUCGGCACCGGAACCAGGCGCCCGCCGGAGGACCCAAACUCUUCUGUAUUUUACAAUGCAUGUCUGAGUGGAUUUAAUAUCAAAAAAUGAAUCA
rnacentral:misc_RNA from 1 species